CAAGGAAGGCAGCAGGCGCGCAAAUUACCCACUCCCGGCACGGGGAGGUAGUGACGAAAAAUAACGAUACGGGACUCAUCCGAGGCCCCGUAAUCGGAAUGAGUACACUUUAAAUCCUUUAACGAGGAUCAAUUGGAGGGCAAGUCUGGUGCCAGCAGCCGCGGUAAUUCCAGCUCCAAUAGCGUAUAUUAAAGUUGUUGCGGUUAAAAAGCUCGUAGUCGAAGGUGUGUCGUGCGCCGCCGGUUCAUCGCUCGCGGUGUCAACUGGCGUGUCGCAGGACGUCCUGCCGGUGGACUUAGCUCUGUCGUCGUCGUCGCUUAUACCGACGGUGGCGGCGGAGCGGUCCAACUUCAAACGAUCCCACCGCGGUGCUCUUCGUUGAGUGUCGAGGUGGGCCGGCACGUUUACUUUGAACAAAUUAGAGUGCUUAAAGCAGGCUAAAAUUUCGCCUGAAUACUGUGUGCAUGGAAUAAUGGAAUAGGACCUCGGUUCUAUUUUGUUGGUUUUCGGAACUCCGAGGUAAUGAUUAAUAGGAACGGAUGGGGGCAUUCGUAUUGCGACGUUAGAGGUGAAAUUCUUGGAUCGUCGCAAGACGAACUUAAGCGAAAGCAUUUGCCAAAAACGUUUUCAUUGAUCAAGAACGAAAGUUAGAGGUUCGAAGGCGAUCAGAUACCGCCCUAGUUCUAACCAUAAACGAUGCCAGCUAGCGAUCCGCCGACGUUCCUCCGAUGACUCGGCGGGCAGCUUCCGGGAAACCAAAGCUUUUGGGUUCCGGGGGAAGU
rnacentral:rRNA from 1 species